rnacentral:siRNA from 1 species
UCCGCCUUUGGUGUGCAUUG